AACGAACGCUGGCGGCAUGCCUAACACAUGCAAGUCGAGCGAGACCUUCGGGUCUAGUGGCGCACGGGUGCGUAACGCGUGGGAACCUGCCCUUAGGUUCGGGAUAACUCCCCGAAAGGGGUGCUAAUACCGGAUAAUGUCUUCGGACCAAAGAUUUAUCGCCUUUGGAUGGGCCCGCGUUGGAUUAGCUAGUUGGUAGGGUAAAGGCCUACCAAGGCGACGAUCCAUAGCUGGUCUGAGAGGAUGAUCAGCCACACUGGGACUGAGACACGGCCCAGACUCCUACGGGAGGCAGCAGUGGGGAAUAUUGGACAAUGGGCGAAAGCCUGAUCCAGCAAUGCCGCGUGAGUGAUGAAGGCCUUAGGGUUGUAAAGCUCUUUUACCCGGGAUGAUAAUGACAGUACCGGGAGAAUAAGCUCCGGCUAACUCCGUG
rnacentral:rRNA from 1 species